rnacentral:rRNA from 1 species
UUAAGCCAUGCGAGUCGAGAGGGGAAAGCCCUCGGCGUACUGCUCAGUAACACGUGGAUAACCUGCCCUGCGGUGGGAAAUAACCCCGGGAAACUGGGGAUAAUGUCCCAUAGAUUACGGAUACUGGAAUGUUCUGUAGUCCAAAGAUUUAUCGCCACAGGAUGGGUCUGCGGCCGAUUAGGUAGUUGUUGGGGUGAAGGCCCAACAAGCCUUUGAUCGGUACGGGUUGUGGGAGCAAGAGCCCGGAGAUGGAUUCUGAGACACGAAUCCAGGCCCUACGGGGCGCAGCAGGCGCGAAAACUUUACAAUGCGGGAAACCGUGAUAAGGGAACUCCGAGUGUCCGUAAAUUCGGACUGUCCGUAUGUUUAAAAAGCAUGCGAAGAAAGGGCCGGGCAAGACCGGUGCCAGCCGCCGCGGUAAUACCGGCGGCUCGAGUGGUGGCCACUAUUACUGGGCUUAAAGCGUUCGUAGCUUGGUUGUUAAGUCUCUUGGGAAAUCUAUCGGCUUAACCGAUAGGCGUCCAGGGGAUACUGGCAAUCUAGGGACCGGGAGAGGUGAGGGGUACUUCAGGGGUAGGAGUGAAAUCCUGUAAUCCUUGGGGGACCACCUGUGGCGAAGGCGCCUCACCAGAACGGCUCCGACAGUGAGGGACGAAAGCUGGGGGAGCAAACCGGAUUAGAUACCCGGGUAGUCCCAGCCGUAAACGAUGCACGUUAGGUGUAUCGAUGACCACGAGUCAUCGAGGUGCCGAAGGGAAACCGUGAAACGUGCCGCCUGGGAAGUACGGUCGCAAGGCUGAAACUUAAAGGAAUUGGCGGGGGAGCACCACAACAGGUGGAGCCUGCGGUUUAAUCGGACUCAACGCCGGAAAUCUCACCGGAUAAGACAGCUGAAUGAUAGUCGGGCUGAAGACUCUACUUGACUAGCUGAGAGGAGGUGCAUGGGC